rnacentral:rRNA from 1 species
GACAGAGGUGCCGAGCGUUAGGCGGAAUCACUGGGCUUAAAGCGUGUGUAGGCGGCCGGGCAAGUACCUUGUGAAAUCCCACGGCUCAACCGUGGAACGGCUGGGUAUACUGCCUGUCUUGAGCCAACUAGGGGCGAGCGGAACAGACGGUGGAGCGGUGAAAUGCGUAGAUAUCGUCUGGAACGCCAAAGGUGAAAACAGCUCGCUGGGGUUGUGCUGACGCUGAGACACGAAAGCCAGGGGAGCGAACGGG